rnacentral:snRNA from 1 species
UUUCUCUCCAGAUCAUGUAAAUCUUUCGCCCUUUACUAAAGAUUUCCAUGGGAAGAAA